rnacentral:rRNA from 1 species
GGAGAGACUGCCGGUGACAAACCGGAGGAAGGUGGGGAGUGACGUCAAAUCAUCAUGCCCCUUAUGACCUGGGCUACACACGUACUACAAUGGCGUAUACAACGGGAAGCGAAGUGGUGACACGGAGCAAAUCUCACAAAGUACGUCUCAGUUCAGAUUGAAGUCUGCAACUCGACUUCAUGAAGUCGGAAUCGCUAGUAAUCGCGGAUCAGCAUGCCGCGGUGAAUACGUUCUCGGGCCUU